CAGUUGGACACUGACUGCUUCUGGCUGAUAUUCUGUGAGUAUUAAAGUGUCUGUGUGUAAAUAUUUUAUAUAUAUAUGACAUUUAAAGUCUCUGUCUUGUCUCAUAUAUAUAAAGUAGUAGUAUAAAGUUUCAGCCUGUAGAAAAUAUUAGAGAAUUAAUGCGGUUUUAUACUAAAUAAGUCAUAAAAACAUGUUUACAGCUCACAUUUAAUCCCACUCUGUUUAUAUUGUUCUGUCGAGGCAUCUUUCCUCAUCCUAAUAAUCUGCUAUAUUCUCUUUAUGUUUAAUUAAUUUCUCUUCCUCAGGCAGAGGGACCAGACGUUAUUGAUCCACCAGGAGGUCUCUGAGAGCUGAUAUUGGACCGACCAACAGGACGACGCACAGUGAGAGAGUGAGGAUGAGGAGGAGGAUGCUUACCAUCCAGGAGGAGACACGUUCUACGGGAGGCUGCAGAGUCCGAACAGCCUGGAGGAGGUGGCUCUCUCUCUGGCUGAGGAGGGAAUACGCCUCAGAAACUCUGAUGGACUCUGAAGAAUCAACCAAGAAACCUCUGGCAGGUCUCUGGAGGUGGUUGUCUCUCAGACAGCUGCUGCUCCAGGCCGGAUCGGGACAUCCUCACCUUGUGGCCAGCGACCGCCUCCACAUCUGUCCGUCUGCGGUCGAACCUCUGCAGCGUCGCUUGGCGCUCAGGAACCGAUGUUUCCUGGGUGACGGAGAGCUUGUUGUUUCGCCACAGAAGGCCGGAGUAGUCGGGAGUAGUCCUGCCUCCGAUAGAAGUCAGAGAGAGAAAGCUCCAGGCUCCUGUGAUGUGUUCAGGGCUUUUCAUCGUCACAGUGUCCCAGAAGUGAGGCUCCACUGGGGGGAGGAAUCAGACUCCGACCUGGAGGAGCUGCUGGCUGAGGAUGAAGAUGAUGGUGGUAGCGAAGGCGAGGACUGAGACGGAGCAGUAAAUCCUGUGGAAAGCACAAAUCUAACUGUUUUAAAGGCAAAUGAAAGAGUUCAUGAUGUAUAAUGUGAGUUAGAUAACACGCUGGUGGGUGAAAACAACCCAGUGACCUCCUUCCUUCCCCGCUCUGUCUCGCCUUUGUAGGUCAACGGGACGGGACUGUGAUUUAUUGGCGGUUUCCCGAUCAAUGAAUCGAUGCAGUGAUGAGAGUGUGAAAUGGUGCUGCCUUCAGGGGCCGCUGCCUUCGAGACACAAAAACAUAAUUAGUCGUUUGUUUAACGUCAGACUGCACAGCCCUGCAGACUGUAGUUACUGAGUGUAACUGAGUACAUUUAUACUUUAUAUUUCUACUCCACUACAGAUUGAACUAAAACCAGCUACAGUAAAAUGCUGCUUACAUACUAAUGCAUCAGCAAUAAUGAGCCAUGUUUCUGCAGUAAGAGUACUUUUAUUUUGAUAUUUUUACAUAAGAGAUAUUUAUGAUGAAGGAGUUUUUACUUGUAAUAGAGUAUUUUUAUAUUGCAUUAUUGGAUCUGAAUACUUCAUCACUGACACUAGAAACUAUUCUGAAACACAUCUGUCAUUUAAAUAGUAAUUCAUUCAUUUAAACUCAUUUAUUAUUUAAAAACGUAUAUUUAAGACCAGAAGUAAUUUAAAUAACUGGACAGUUAAUGUCAGAAUAGUUAAAUAAAUACAUUUAACGUUAACUCACAAUAAUCACUGUGAGUCAUUUAAAGAGUCCGACCGUUAAACGGCAGUUAGUCUACCGACGGCGCAUGCGCAGUUCUCUGCUCAACGUUCGCGUGCAGAAAUGAGAACUAUCGAUAUUUUCGUUAAAAACACGCCAAUAGUCGAUAUUAUUGUAUUACAGAUAGUUUUUGGAAACACUGAUAAUUAUAAUUUAUUUUACAUUGGCCGAAUAUUUGUUCACAUAAUAACUGUAAUAAAGUUUAAAAAUCUAGCGGCGUCCGAACUUGCAAUGCAUUAUGGGAAGAAGAAACAAACUGCCGUUAUAAUGUCAUUUAAAGCGAAUUCACAUCAAAUAUUUCAAACUGAUUAUUAUUUUAAAUCUUUCUAAAAGAUAAUUCUGUCCAAAGUGCUUCCUGCUUCGUCAGUUGAGAUAGUGUAACGUUAGUUGUCAACAGCACCGUCAGUCAGUGUGGUGUGUCUGUGAGAGAGCUCCCUGUCUCUGAGCUGGACAACUCAUACUUACCUGGCAGGGGAGAUACCAUGAUCAAGAAGGUGGUUCACCUUGGGCGAGGCCUGACCAUUGCACUCCGGUUGGGUUGACCUCAACGAAUGGGGAUGGGGCGUAGGGGAGUGCAAGCGACGAGGGACCCGAUUGGACGCCGUUCUACGGUCGCGCCCCCGACCCGGCAGCGACAUCUCCCGGCAGCCUAACGACGCCGCACGUCCGGGAGUGUGAGGGGUACAGCGCCAUCUACCGGGCAAGGGUCGAUACCGCAGGCCGUUGUUGGUUUGGAUGGAUUGAGGGAUGAAAUCUGACAACUCUGAUAUCUAAAAUUUGAAUCUAAUGAAACAUAACUCACGUGGCUUUACAGCUUUCAUUGUUAGAUUUAUGUUCAAUAAAUGUUACAGUGUUAAAGCUGAUUACAUCCCUACUUAAGUGUGUGUGUGUGUGUGUUAUAUACGUGAAAGCUUUGUUUAAUUCUCUCUUGUUCUUCUGUCCUUUUUGUAGCUCUGGCUGGCACACCACUGGAGAGUUUGAAGGAGUAAUACAGGACACCGCAGGAGGAGUCUACAAAACAGCUCACCCCCGUUCAAAGCAAAUGUUGCAGAGACUAUUGUCGUGUAUUCCACAUGUGUGAUAUUGGCCUUAUCAGAUUUAUAUGAGCUAUUUAUUGUGACGCUGCCAUUGAAUGAUGCUCCAAGCACCGUAUUAGGUAUAUCUGUGUAAGCAAAUGCUACAUAAUUCAUGUACGUUAUCCUUGUCACUGAAUUCAUACUUUAUCUCCUUUCCUAAGUGCUGUUUAUUUACAUUUACUUCUAUCUUAAUUCAUUAUGUUAUGACAGGCUGAUGAAAAGUAGUUAAAUAUUUCUGAGGCAGAGAAUAAAGCUAAUUUAAUGUUGCUGUUGUUAAACGUGCAAAAGUAUCUAUCAUGGUGCUGUAGGCACGUGUCCUUAUAUGUAAGUAAUCUGGCACUCUGUGUAUGUGUCCCUAUUUGUUUAUAAACAAAUAAACCCCCAAUUUUGCAUUCAAUAAUUGAUAUUCCACAGCUCAUUGUUACUGAACACUUUACUGAACAAACUGCAUGAAAUGAGGGACACACACUUGGAGGGGAAAAAAACAGCGCGUAAACAAAGUAUCACUGAACACGAUAAUGAAUACAAUGUCAUAAAAAGAACAUGUACAUGAAAAUUGAAAUGAUUUACAAUUUGUCCAAUGACAUGCAAGUAGAAUUUCUACCUACACCAAAACACUACAGUUUAGAUAACUUAAAAGAUGGGGGAUGGGGCGUAGGGGAGUGCAAGCGACGAGGGACCCGAUUGGACGCCGUUCUACGGUCGCGGCCCCCGACCCGGCAGCGACAUCUCCCGGCAGCCUAACGACGCCGCACGUCCGGAGUGUGAGGGGUACAGCGCCAUCUACCGGGCAAGGGUCGAUACCGCAGGCGAUUGUUGGUUUGGAUGGAUUGAGGGAUGAAAUCUGACAACUCUGAUAUCUAAAAUUUGAAUCUAAUGAAACAUAACUCACGUGGCUUUACAGCUUUCAUUGUUAGAUUUAUGUUCAAUAAAUGUUACAGUGUUAAAGCUGAUUACAUCCCUACUUAAGUGUGUGUGUGUGUGUGUUAUAUACGUGAAAGCUUUGUUUAAUUCUCUCUUGUUCUUCUGUCCUUUUUGUAGCUCUGGCUGGCACACCACUCGGAGAGUUUGAAGGAGUAAUACAGGACACCGCAGGAGGAGUCUACAAAACAGCUCACCCCCGUUCAAAGCAAAUGUUGCAGAGACUAUUGUCGUGUAUUCCACAUGUGUGAUAUUGGCCUUAUCAGAUUUAUAUGAGCUAUUUAUUGUGACGCUGCCAUUGAAUGAUGCUCCAAGCACCGUAUUAGGUAUAUCUGUGUAAGCAAAUGCUACAUAAUUCAUGUACGUUAUCCUUGUCACUGAAUUCAUACUUUAUCUCCUUUCCUAAGUGCUGUUUAUUUACAUUUACUUCUAUCUUAAUUCAUUAUGUUAUGACAGGCUGAUGAAAAGUAGUUCAAUAUUUCUGAGGCAGAGAAUAAAGCUAAUUUAAUGUUGCUGUUGUUAAACGUGCAAAAGUAUCUAUCAUGGUGCUGUAGGCACGUGUCCUUAUAUGUAAGUAAUCUGGCACUCUGUGUAUGUGUCCCUAUUUGUUUAUAAACAAAUAAACCCCCAAUUUUGCAUUCAAUAAUUGAUAUUCCACAGCUCAUUGUUACUGAACACUUUACUGAACAAACUGCAUGAAAUGAGGGACACACACUUGGAGGGGAAAAAAACAGCGCGUAAACAAAGUAUCACUGAACACGAUAAUGAAUACAAUGUCAUAAAAAGAACAUGUACAUGAAAAUUGAAAUGAUUUACAAUUUGUCCAAUGACAUGCAAGUAGAAUUUCUACCUACACCAAAACACUACAGUUUAGAUAACUUAAAAGAUGUAAUUGAAUAGGAUAGAGAAUUAAAUGAGUAAAAAUGAAGGCUAUUUACAAUUUAUAAAAGCACAUGUACAUGAAAAUGGCAACUAUUAACAAUAUAUAAAGAGUAUGGCAACUAUUUACAAUAUGUACAUGAAAAUGGCAACUAUCAACAAUAUAUAAAGAGUAUGGCAACUAUUUACAACAUGUACAAUGCAGCAUAUUCACAGUUCAUUUGUCCAAACUGUCAACAACAGACAUGAAAUGUUCGUAGCUGCUGUACACUCUGCUGUGUAGUUGUUUAGAUGUUGACAUCAUUUUGACAGGGCAGAAAGUCUUUUUUUAUUUUUUUAUGUCCCUGUGUUGUGCUGUUGC
rnacentral:lncRNA from 1 species